CACCGGUUUGCAAGUUCCCAUAAAACAUAAUAAAGUUUGUUCUAUUCGUCAGUUUCUACGUUCAACUACAACGAAUAUUGAAUGUUUCCAAUUUCAACUCGACUAACAGGAGCACCGGACGGAGCCUUACGUCGGAAUGAAGAAUUAUGCUUGAUUUGGACAUUUCGGAACAAAUUACGUAAAUUGUAACUCGACUGCGUUAGGUCUUCUUCGAGUGAAUGUAUUCAUAUAUUAUAGUUGUAUCAUCUUCAAAUUAUAAACUUUUUUAUUUAGGAUUUCCUUCCUUCGCAUGCGUGUUUGUUUAAUUUAUCUAUGCCUAUUAGAACAGUCGUGAUAUAGAUAAGUAAUAAUAAUACAGUGUGGGCCGUAUGCAUUUGGAACGUAAUCAAUAGAUUCACAUUCGUAUAAAUAAUAGAAGUAGUAAAUGGUUAGAUAAUAUCAAAUAAUUCGCUUCAGCAGGAAACUCAAAACUCACCUGUUCCAUUCAUCGGAAUAUUGCCUUUAGCACAUCUAUUCAAAUUGAUUUAUCUCUAUCUGUGGUUACAGCGUUAUCACUUUCCGCAGGACGGAACCGCCCUUCGAAACACUUUUUGUAGCAAAUUUUGCAGAAUCGAAAAUAAAAACAAAUCUAAUAAAUAGGGCACAGUCACAGAGUGGGUGUUCGUAACGACUAGUCAAUCGCUACAACAGU